rnacentral:rRNA from 1 species
GAUGAACGCUAGCGGCAGGCCUAAUACAUGCAAGUCGAGCGGACAGAUGGAUAGCAAUCUUGGAUCUAGAGUGGGGCAAGGGUGCGUAACACAUGUGCAACCCGCACCCGAAAGGAGGAUAUCUCCCCGAAAGGGCGAAUAACACACCAUAACACAAUGAGAAGGCAUCUGAUCAUGGUUAAACAGCAAGGGGUCUCGGACGGGCAUGGGGCGGAUUAGCUAGUUGGCGUGGUACUGGCACACCAAGGCGACGAUGAAUAGCUGUCCGGAGGGGGUGAGAAGCCACCCUGGAACUGGGACAGGGUUCAGACUCAGACGGGAGGCAGCAGUAGGGAUUCGUAAGAAUUGGCAGAAAGCCUGAUGCAGAAACGCCGAGUGCGUGAGGAAGGUCUUCGGAUUGUAAAUCUCUGUCAGUUGGGACGAAUGGAUGUAAGAGUAGCGCUUGACGUAUUGACGGUACCAAGUGAAUAAGCCACGGCUAACUACGUG